GACGAACGCUGGCGGCGUGCUCCACUACAUGUCAGUCGAACGCUUUUGUUUUCACCGGAGCUUGCUCCACCGAAAACAAAAGAGUGGCGGACGGGUGAGUAACACGUGGGUAACCUGCCCUCAAGCGGGGGAUAACACUUGGAAACAGGUGCUAAUACCGCAUAACAAUCAGAAUCGCAUGGUUUUGAUUUGAAAGGCGCUUUUGCGUCACUUGAGUGAUGGACCCGCGGUGCAUUAGCUAGUUGGUGAGGUAACGGCUCACCAAGGCCACGAUGCAUAGCCGACCUGAGAGGGUGAUCGGCCACACUGGGACUGAGACACGGCCCAGACUCCUACGGGAGGCAGCAGUAGGGAAUCUUCGGCAAUGGACGAAAGUCUGACCGAGCAACGCCGCGUGAGUGAAGAAGGUUUUCGGAUCGUAAAACUCUGUUGUUAGAGAAGAACAAGGGUGAGAGUAGAAUGUUCACCCCUUGACGGUAUCUAACCAGAACGCCACGGCUAACUACGUGCCAGCAGACCGCGG
rnacentral:rRNA from 1 species